AAAUGUGAAUGCAAUUUAUAAUACUUUGGUUUAAGUUUCAUUUAUAUUUACAUUCUAAACUUAUGUUUUUUUAGGAGAGAUUUGCUUUAGAAGUCUCCGAUGAUUAUAUCAAGAAGGCAUUAGGUAAAAGAUGGAGAGACAAUAAAAGCACUUUAAAGAAACAAUAUUUUAAGAAAGACAUAAGCCUCGAGGAAAAACUGAGAAAUGUUCCGCCAGGAAUGCUGAGGUAUCAAUGGGAAGAUGCGGUUAGAUUUUGGAAUUCAAAGAAAGGAGAGGACCGUGAGCGAGUUGGAACAAGCGUCAGCAAAAACAAAAAUUCACGCACACGGUAGGGUCGAGAAGUUUUGCUUCUGUAGCUGAGGCCGAGGAAGUCAAAUCCGGACAAAAAGUUGGACGCCUUCAGCUUUUUGAGAUUACGCAUAGGAAGAAAGAUGGAUCUCCUAUGACAUCCGAAGCUGGAGAAAUUAUGGAGAAACUAAAGGAGAAGAAGGCGGAAUAUGAAGCGAUUGCUUCGAGUGAUAGUUCUGUUAAUCUUGAGAACAUUGAUAAUAGAAUUAUCACUGAAGUUUUGGGUCUUGAAAGGUACGGUCGGGUUCGAUUUCAAGGAUCUGGUGUUACCCCGACCCAAUAUUUUGGAUCCGGCUCCCAGCAAUACAUGCCUUCCGGAAGUCAAGCUCAAGCUGAAGUUCAGAGGUUAAGAGACCAGAUAGCUCAGAUGCAAGCGAACACGGUUGAGCAAAUUGCCGAGGUUCAACGAAAAUAUGAAGAA